GGGGGUAUAGCUCAGCAGUAGAACAUUUGACUGCAGAGCAAGAGGUUCAAAUCCAGAUGCCUCCU
rnacentral:tRNA from 1 species